rnacentral:rRNA from 1 species
GACGAACGCUGGCGGCGUACUUAACACAUGCAAGUCGAACGAAGAGCGAUGGACGCUUGCUUCUCUCAAUCUUAGUGGCGCACGGGUGAGUAACGCGUAAUCAACCUGCCCUUCAGAGGGGGACAACAGUUGGAAACGACUGCUAAUACCGCAUACGAUCUAAUCUCGGCAUCGAGGAUAGAUGAAAGGUGGCCUCUACAUGUAAGCUAUCACUUAAGGAGGGGAUUGCGUCUGAUUAGCUAGUUGGAGGGGUAACGGCCCACCAAGGCGAUGAUCAGUAGCCGGUCUGAGAGGAUGAACGGCCACAUUGGGACUGAGACACGGCCCAGACUCCUACGGGAGGCAGCAGUGGGGAAUCUUACGCAAUGGACGAAAGUCUGACGGAGCAACGCCGCGUGAGCGAGGACGGCCUUCGGGUUGUAAAGCUCUGUUAAUCGGGACGAAAGGCCUUCUUGCGAAUAGUGAGAAGGAUUGACGGUACCGGAAUAGAAAGCCACGGCUAACUACGUG